GAUGAACGCUGGCGGCGUGCCUAAUACAUGCAAGUAGAACGCUGAAGGAGGAGCUUUCUCUUCUGGAUGAGUUGCGAACGGGUGAGUAACGCGUAGGUAACCUGCCUGGUAGCGGGGGAUAACUAUUGGAAACGAUAGCUAAUACCGCAUGACAACAGUUAUUGCAUGAUAACUGUUUAAAAGGGGCAACUGCUCCACUACCAGAUGGACCUGCGUUGUAUUAGCUAGUUGGUGAGGUAACGGCUCACCAAGGCGACGAUACAUAGCCGACCUGAGAGGGUGAUCGGCCACACUGGGACUGAGACACGGCCCAGACUCCUACGGGAGGCAGCAGUAGGGAAUCUUCGGCAAUGGACGGAAGUCUGACCGAGCAACGCCGCGUGAGUGAAGAAGGUUUUCGGAUCGUAAAGCUCUGUUGUAAGAGAAGAACGAGUGUGAGAGUGGAAAGUUCACACUGUGACGGUAUCUUACCAGAAAGGGACGGCUAACUACGUG
rnacentral:rRNA from 1 species